AAGUCGUAACAAGGUUUCCGUAGGUGAACCUGCGGAAGGAUCAUUAGCGAGUAAGGCCUUGCCCUAACCGGCUCGGUCAGUCCCAUCAUAUACACCUUUUAUCUGUGAACCCGUUGUGCUGCGAGGUCGAAAGCUUAGGCGAUUAAACCGAGCGGUGCGGCAACCUAUAUACCCUUUAUCUAAAUGGAAACGGAAGUAAAUCAUAAAUUAAUACAACUUUCAACAACGGAUCUCUUGGCUCAC
rnacentral:misc_RNA from 2 species